UCUGGUAAUGAUGGCAGAGAGGUCACACCCGUUCCCAUACCGAACACGGAAGUUAAGCUCUCUAGCGCCGAUGGUAGUUGGGACCUUGUCCCUGUGAGAGUAGGAC
rnacentral:rRNA from 1 species